CAAGUAUUCUAGAUGGUUGCGCCUAGAUAAUAGGUGUGGAAAGUCCGGACUCCGUAAGUGGAACCAACGAGAGUUGGAUGGGAGUAAUCUCAUGGAGAAAAGGGCAACAGAAAGAUAUACCGCCUAGCGUAGCCUGCCCGCUUGUUAGGUAAGGGUGAAAUGGUAGUGUAAGAGACUACUGGGUACUGUAGUAAUACAGUAUCGCGUGGUAACCCCUUCCUGGAGCAAGGUUUGACCGCAUAGACAGAUAACCAUCGUUAUACAGAAUCCGGCUUAUUGAAUACUUGCGCU
rnacentral:RNase_P_RNA from 2 species